rnacentral:rRNA from 1 species
UACGUAGGUGACAAGCGUUGUCCGGAUUUACUGGGCGUAAAGAGCGCGCAGGCGGUCGUGCAAGUCGCGUGUGAAAGCCCCCGGCUCAACUGGGGAGGGUCACGCGAUACUGCUCGACUCGAAGGCAGGAGAGGGAAGUGGAAUCCUGGUGUAGCGGUGAAAUGCGUAGAUAUCAAGAGGAACACCUGCGGCGAAGGCGGGUUGCUGGGCCGACACUGACGCUGAGGCGCGAAAGCUAGGGGAGCGAACGGG